CUGGCUCAGGAUUAACGCUGGCGGCGUGCCUAACACAUGCAAGUCGAACGAAAUAUCUUCGGAUAUUAGUGGCGAACGGGUGAGUAAUGUACAGGUAAUGUACCUUCGUACUGCGAAUAACAAGCUGAAAAGUUUGCUAAUACGGAAUAGUUUCAUUAGGGGGCAUCCUUUGAUGAAUAAAGAUUUAUCGUGCGGAGAUCAGCCUGUAUCCUAUUAGUUAGUUGGUGGGGUAAUGGCCUACCAAGACGACGAUGGGUAACUGGUCUGAGAGGAUGAGCAGUCACAUUGGAACUGAGAUACGGUCCAAACUCCUACGGGAGGCAGCAGUGAGGAAUUUUGCGCAAUGGGGGAAACCCUGACGCCAGCAACGCCGCGUGACCCGUGAAGACGGCCUUCGGGUUGUAAAGCUCUGUCGUGUAUGACGAGUAGGGACGGUAAUACACAAGGAAGAACCCUCGGCUAACUACGUGCCAGCCGCAGC
rnacentral:rRNA from 1 species